rnacentral:rRNA from 1 species
GCUUACACAUGCAAGUCGAACGAUGAACCGGUUUCGGCCGGGGAUUAGUGGCGAACGGGUGAGUAACACGUGGGCAAUCUGCCCUGCACUCUGGGAUAAGCCCGGGAAACUGGGUCUAAUACCGGAUACGACACAUGAGCGCAUGCUCGUGUGUGGAAAGUUCCGGCGGUGCAGGAUGAGCCCGCGGCCUAUCAGUUUGUUGGUGGGGUAGUGGCCUACCAAGACGACGACGGGUAGCCGGCCUGAGAGGGUGACCGGCCACACUGGGACUGAGACACGGCCCAGACUCCUACGGGAGGCAGCAGUGGGGAAUAUUGCACAAUGGGCGAAAGCCUGAUGCAGCGACGCCGCGUGAGGGAUGACGGCCUUCGGGUUGUAAACCUCUUUCAGCAGGGAAGAAGCGAAAGUGACGGUACCUGCAGAAGAAGCACCGGCUAACUACGUGCCAGCAGCCGCGGUAAUACGUAGGGUGCAAGCGUUGUCCGGAAUUAUUGGGCGUAAAGAGCUCGUAGGCGGCCUGUCGCGUCGAUUGUGAAAGCCCAGGGCUUAACCCUGGGUCUGCAGUCGAUACGGGCAGGCUAGAGUUCGGUAGGGGAGAUCGGAAUUCCUGGUGUAGCGGUGAAAUGCGCAGAUAUCAGGAGGAACACCGGUGGCGAAGGCGGAUCUCUGGGCCGAUACUGACGCUGAGGAGCGAAAGCGUGGGGAGCGAACAGGAUUAGAUACCCUGGUAGUCCACGCCGUAAACGGUGG